GACUCACAUGAUUACAAGGUGAAGUCCCAUGAUAUGCUGUCUGCAAGCUGAGGAAGAAGGAAGCCAAUAGUGGCUCAGUCAGAGUUCAGAAGCCUCAAAAGCAGGGAAGCUGAUAGUAUAGCCUUCAGUCUGUGGCUGAAGGCCUGAGAGCCCCUGGAAAACCACUGGUGUAAGUCCAAGAGUCCAGAAGCUGAAGAACCUGGAGUCUGAUGACCAAGGGCAGGAAGCAUCCAGCACGGGACAAAGAAGAAAGCCAGAAGACUCAGCAAGCCAGCUCAUCUCACUUUCUUCUGCCUACUUUGUUGUAGCUGAGCUGGCAGCCAGUUGGAUGGUGCACACUCACAUUGAGGAUUGGGAGGCUGCUGUGUAUGGAUAAGAUACCUGCUACAGCCAGCUUGACACCAUGAGAAGGACAAGAGAAUUGCAGAGACACAUAUCCAGGAUUCUGAUCCAGUUGAGGCACUGAAAUAAUCUAGAACCACCUUCAAAUUUCUUAUAAAGAGAGCUAUGCUAUUAGGAUUUAAUUAAAUGGAUGCCAACAGCAAGUAAACCAUCUCCAAAGAUGCCAUGAAGCUCUCCUAAUUGCAGGAAAAUAUCAGAGGCACUUGAUUUGAGUCUUUCAAGUACGGAAAUAACAAAUUCAGUCUCAACAGACCUAUAGUGAAUGAGGGAAGAUUUACCACAAGUUACUUUAUCAUAGCUUUGAGUGGCAUUUUAAUAUCAUAUUUUAAAAGAAAGAAAACAAUAGAAAUGUAUUAAAAUAUCUUCUCAAGGACAUUGAGAUCUGCUGGUUGGAGAUCUUAGUGCCCAAGGAAGAAUGCUUGCAAAAGGAGAUGGAACAGUGUUUCUGUUGCAUUGGCCACUGAGAAUAUCUGGUUAUUUUGAAUUUGUCACAGUCUGCAGCUAAAAGGCGAACAGGAAAAGAAGAGAGAGCGGUAAUUUGAAUGAUAGCAGAUUUCACAUCAGGAACCAAUGAAGCUAGAUAAGAAUGCAACAUCUUUGAUGUCUAAAAGAAACAAAAAGCCAACCUUGAAUUCUUUAUUUAGUGAAGUUACCCUUCAGAAAUGACGGCAAAAUAAAGAUGUUUUCCAAUAAAAGACAACUAUGAGAAUUCUUCAAAAAAAAAAAAAAAAAAAAAA
rnacentral:lncRNA from 1 species